rnacentral:rRNA from 1 species
ACGAACGCUGGCGGCGUGCUUAACACAUGCAAGUCGAACGGAAAGGCCCUGCUUUUGUGGGGUGCUCGAGUGGCGAACGGGUGAGUAACACGUGAGUAACCUGCCCUUGACUUUGGGAUAACUUCAGGAAACUGGGGCUAAUACCGGAUAGGAGCUCCUGCUGCAUGGUGGGGGUUGGAAAGUUUCGGCGGUUGGGGAUGGACUCGCGGCUUAUCAGCUUGUUGGUGGGGUAGUGGCUUACCAAGGCUUUGACGGGUAGCCGGCCUGAGAGGGUGACCGGCCACAUGGGGACUGAGAUACGGCCCAGACUCCUACGGGAGGCAGCAGUGGGGAAUAUUGCACAAUGGGCGGAAGCCUGAUGCAGCAACGCCGCGUGCGGGAUGACGGCCUUCGGGUUGUAAACCGCUUUCGCCUGUGACGAAGCGUGAGUGACGGGAAUGGGUAAAGAAGCACCGGCUAACUACGU